rnacentral:rRNA from 1 species
CGUAGGGUGCGAGCGUUAAUCGGAAUUACUGGGCGUAAAGCGUGCGCAGGCGGUUUUGUAAGACAGGCGUGAAAUCCCCGGGCUCAACCUGGGAACUGCGCUUGUGACUGCAAGGCUAGAGUACGGCAGAGGGGGGUGGAAUUCCACGUGUAGCAGUGAAAUGCGUAGAGAUGUGGAGGAACACCAAUGGCGAAGGCAGCCCCCUGGGUCGAUACUGACGCUCAUGCACGAAAGCGUGGGUAGCAAACAGGAUUAGAUACCCUGGUAGUCCACGCCCUAAACGAUGUCAACUAGGUGUUGGGUGGGUAAAACCAUUUAAGUACCGGAGCUAACGCGUGAAGUUGACCGCCUGGGGAGUACGGCCGCAAAGGUUA